CGCGGAGCGGAACCCAGGUGGCGGGAGCUGGAACACGGGGACUAAAUGGGAUGAGGAAGGGGAGAGGAAAAGCUUCACUGCUGAACCCCAAUAUCCAAAAGACCCAGAGGAUCCGCUGGGAAAUGAGACUGUGUGAUAACAUCAGGCAUUUCAAGCCCUGCCCCAAAUGCUUGGACUCUCUACAUCUAGCUGGUCCUGACUCCUGCCCCAGGGUUGAGGAGUCAGUUCCAGGGGAGCUCCCCUUUACACAGGGUUUCCCAUUACUGGAAGCAUCCACAGCAGACGGCAAUCAGAGUGCUAACUAAAGAAAUAAAUGGUUAAAACAAACGUACACCCUCUCCCGCCAAAGAAGCUCCACACCAGCAGGUGCCAGUCGUGACCAAGU